rnacentral:rRNA from 1 species
UACGUAGGGGGCAAGCGUUGUCCGGAAUCAUUGGGCGUAAAGAGCGUGUAGGCGGCCCGGUAAGUCCGCUGUGAAAGUCCAGGGCUCAACCCUGGGAUGCCGGUGGAUACUGUCGGGCUCGAGUCCGGAAGAGGAGUGUGGAAUUCCUGGUGUAGCGGUGGAAUGCGCAGAUAUCAGGAGGAACACCAAUGGCGAAGGCAGAUCUCUGGGCCGUAACUGACGCUGGAGGAGCGAAAGCAU